rnacentral:rRNA from 1 species
GUGAGGAAUAUUGGUCAAUGGGCGAGAGCCUGAACCAGCCAAGUCGCGUGAAGGAAGAAGGAUCUAUGGUUCGUAAACUUCUUUUGCAGGGGAAUAAAGUGCAGGACGUGUCCUGUUUUGUAUGUACCCUGAGAAUAAGGACCGGCUAACUCCGUGCCAGCAGCCGCGGUAAUACGGAGGGUCCGAGCGUUAUCCGGAUUUAUUGGGUUUAAAGGGUGCGUAGGCGGUUUUAUAAGUCAGCGGUGAAAUUUUGCAGCUUAACUGUAAAAAUGCCGUUGAAACUGUCGGACUUGAGUGUAAAUGAGGUAGGCGGAAUGCGUGGUGUAGCGGUGAAGUGCAUAGAUAUCACGCAGAACUCCGAUUGCGAAGGCAGCUUACUAAGCUACAACUGACACUGAAGCACGAAAGCGUGGGGAUCAAACAGGAUUAGAAACCCGGGUAGUCC